AGGACGAACGCUGGCGGCGUGCUUAACACAUGCAAGUCGAGCGGAAAGGCCCUUCGGGGUACUCGAGCGGCGAACGGGUGAGUAACACGUGAGUAACCUGCCCCUAGCUCUGGGAUAGCUCCGGGAAACCGGGAUUAAUACCAGAUACGACCACUUUAGACAUCUGUCGUGGUGGAAAGGAUUCCGGCUAGGGAUGGGCUCGCGGCCUAUCAGCUUGUUGGUGGGGUAACGGCCUACCAAGGCGACGACGGGUAGCCGGCCUGAGAGGGCGACGGGCCAACGACUGGGACUGAGACACGGCCCAGACUCCUACGGGAGGCAGCAGUGGGGAUAUUGCGCAAUGGGCGAAAGCCUGACGCAGCGACGCCGCGUGGGGGAUGAAGGCCUUCGGGUUGUAAACCCCUUUCAGCAGGGACGAAGCGAAAGUGACGGUACCUGCAGAAGAAGCGCCGGCUAACUACGUGCCAGCAGCCGC
rnacentral:rRNA from 1 species